CGUGUCGGUGCCGCGGAACCAGUCCGGAUACUGGCAGGACUCCACUUUUAUAAUGUCCGCGCCGAGAUCGCCCAUCUGGCGCGUCGCGGUCGGCCCAGCCCAGCCCAUGGUGAGAUCGAUGAUGCGCAGCCCUUUCAGCGGCAGCGGCAGCGCAUCCUGCGGUGUCGCGGCGCGCGUCGCCUUGCGCCGAUGCGCGGGCAGGGCGG
rnacentral:misc_RNA from 1 species